UUAUGCAGUGUUUCUGCGCCUCUUUAAAUGUCUGAUCUCAGAAGCUAAGCAGGGUCGGGCCUGGUUAGUAUUUGGAUGGGAGACCACCUAGGAAGACAAGGUGCUGUAGAUG
rnacentral:rRNA from 1 species